UCUGAUUAUAAUGCUGCCUGUACCACUUCUGUGACAAGUACACAGCUAAUUGGAGCAUGGGACUAGGGAGUGAGAGAUGCAAGAAAUGCCUUUAAUACUGUUCAGCCUCAGAUGAAGUCUGUUCUAAUUGUUGGCUUGUCUGUUCUUUCCCUCACAGGCUGUAUCAUCUAGACCUAAUGUGCUUGAUGGUUUGCUUAUUGUGGGCAUCUGGUUUUGAGCUGGCGUCUGAGCGAGCUGAGCAUGACCAAGUUUUAGCAGAAAUGGCAGUGUGUUCUUGGUGAUGCAACUUGGUCAGAUUCUGUUAGAGGAAAAGAAAGCUGGCAGAGACCGCAAGGAAAAGGAGUGCAUCUAGCUGUCACACCUCUCUUACAAGAAGCUGCAGGUCCCUUGCUGCUGGGUAUGAAACCAGAGCUGCUUUCUUUGAGGUCAACCUGAUUUGCAAUAUCAGUUACAUAAUAUACAAUUUUCACUUAGACAAGCAUGGCAGAGAGGUCUGUAUCUCCUUUCUGUGAGGACUCUAUUUUCUGCCAUUUCUGUCCUGUCAAGGUGCUUUCAAAAGAGACACUUAAGAAAUCAAUUGAGGUUGUACUAAUAUUAGUACAAAACCAGAAUAAUUUGACUGAAGGUAGAGUUGCUCUGGGUUUAUGCUAGCAUUCUUGUGAUCAAAACUUACUUUUCAGAAAAGUAGCCAAAAAGGAAAGCCAACAGAUUUCUUUCCCAGCCUCAGAUGCGUCUUGGGAGGAAGCCUGACAAAUGAAAGUAUGCACAUACUGUAAGAUGCUUCAAUAGCUAAAACUUAUAAAAAGUUGCUUUCCCUCAGAGAUAAGUAGUUACUGCUCGUCUUACCCUAUUUUGAGGUUUGUUAGUCACAAAUAAGGCUUUUGUACUGUGAUAAUUUAGAGGUUGUUCUGAAUAUGUAUAUUAGUAGUUGUAAGUUGCAGUAGUUGUAAGCUUGGAAAUUAAUUUAAUGAGCUUAGAAAACCACUCCUGCAUCAGUUUGUCAAGGGAGCUAUUUAUACUCUGAGUAAAGCAGUUUUUUCUUCCUCUAAAUUCUGGAAACGUGGAGGAAUUCCCUGGGUGGACUGUUCUGUAUGAUUAUGUGGAGCUGAAACAAUUAGGUAAUGCCAAAAUUUGUGACAAGGAUUUCUGCUUAGUGUCUUUCUAGAUGUGUUUUACAAUGUAAGCAACAUUGUAUGCAAUGCUGGCCAAGUAGCAGGUAUGAAUAGUGUGGUAGCAGUCAUCCUGCAAUUGGAGUUCUGUUUAGAUUGAUACAUUAUGGUCUGGUUUCUUUCUUGACUUUAUCUUUGGCAUCCUGCCUUUGCAGCCAGCUGCUCUGUAUUAGUACACAAUAUUAAUUUGCAGGGAACUCGGAUAAGGAUACAAAUGUUUAGAUGUAAUUUAGUUUGUGUUGCAAGGUAGAUGUGAGCUUACCAGGAAAGCAGGUAUCUUCAGGGGGUGCUAGGGAUUGCCUCUAUGUAGAUGCCCUUGUGUAUAUAAUGUUUUGGUACCUCUUUAUAAGGAUGUUACUUCUGACCCUCUCCUACACUUUUAAAGAUGAAAAUUUAGUUCUCAGUAUCUGAAAUGAUGUUGGCCCUUUAGUCUUCAGUAAAAUUCUGAGUUUAUUCAGUUUUUGUGAAGUCCACCUGAGCUGAUGGAAUUGUGUUCUGGGGAACCUACAGUUGUCAUCUGCAUGUACCACAGUAGCUGGGGGGCUUCCUUCCACUUCUCAAGGCUGAGGUAUCAUGUCUUCCAUGUUGCAAGAGCAAUCAGGCAGAAGAAGAUAUGACUCUUUCUCUAUACCCUUGUAACAGGGUAAAAAUAUUCUAUAAUAAUCCAAUUUGUUAUAGAGCAUCAGACUGCCUGUCUUUGCGUAGAGCACAGAUCCUGCGAUCAGCCACUCAAAGGCAUGAUCUAAAGCUGGAAGUGACCCCAAUGAGAGAGAGCUGUAUAUAAAAUAGCCUUCUGACAGCUAAAGCUAUAAAAUAGCUUUGUUCUUAACCCUGACAGCUACUGAAUGCUUUGCAAGGACAGAUAAAAUACCUUGUCCUGGUGAAAAAGGAUGAAUGUGCUGCAAUUUAGAUCUUACUAAACAAUGCAAGGCUUCUCAGGACAAAAGGUUCCUCUACUUCAUGUGCUGCAAGGUGGUUGGUAGAACUGUAUGUGUAAGUGGACCAAAAAUAAAAUUUUAUUUCAGAAAAAAAA